rnacentral:rRNA from 1 species
UACGUAGGGUCCAAGCGUUAUCCGGAAUCACUGGGCGUAAAGCGUGCGUAGGCGGGAUUAAGUGUGAUGUUAAGUCAUGAUGGCUCAACCAUAUUGAUGCAUCGCAUACUGGAUACCUGGAGGGAAGGCAGAGGCAAGUGGAACUAGUAGUGUAGCAGUGAAAUGCGUAGAGAUUACUAAGAACACCAAUGGCGAAGGCAGCUUGCUGGGCCUUU